rnacentral:rRNA from 1 species
AUGUCGUCCAGCCCGUCCCCCACCACUGUCAUGGAGGUUGUGUUUACAUCGUCCGUGGGUCUCGCGUCCUUGGCUUUGUCCCGCAAGCCAGAGAACAUCGCCCAGAGGGACCGGCGAUGGAGGCAGCGGGAGAGGGAAGCGGACCUCGAGGGGGCGUCUAUGACUCGCCGCCGCUCGUUUGGUCGCGUACAGGCCCGACACCGGUGGCGCAUCGGCUGCCCACGCCCUGUUCGACGGAAUGACAUAGCAGGACUCGGAAUUGAUCACGUCGACAUGAUCAAUGGUAAUCAUGAUCCGACCCAAAUGCAGUAUGAGUUGGGGGAUCCAGCUUGUCCUAUGUUUGAAGUCGGCGGCACAUCAAACCCCAAUCCGAACAAGAAAAAGGGAAAGAUGCCCAAGGCAAGAGGUCCGGCAUUCACAACUUUUGAGGACAUCUUGUUGGUUAAAUCUUGGUUGGCCACAACAUUGGACCUCAUACAUAGCACGGAGCAAAAAGGCAAUCGGUAUUGGGAGAAGAUCCACAAGCACUAUCAUGAACACAAGCAUUAUGUGGAGCCGCAUCCUAUCGCUACCAACCGCAAUGUGGCAUCUCUCCAACAUCCAUCGGGGAUAAUUAAAGGGGAAGUGAACAAAUACGUCGGCUACUAUGCACAAGUGCUUGGCCGCCCUCAAAGUGGGAUGGAUGAUGGUGGCGGCCAUUAUGUAUCAAGAGACGGAGAAGAAGAUAUUCGGUUUUAG